rnacentral:rRNA from 1 species
CUAAGUUUGAUGGCGACCGGCGCACGGGUGAGUAACACGUAUCCAACCUGCCGAUGACUCGGGGAUAGCCUUUCGAAAGAAAGAUUAAUACCCGAUGGCAUAGUUCUUCCGCAUGGUAGAACUAUUAAAGAAUUUCGGUCAUCGAUGGGGAUGCGUUCCAUUAGGUUGUUGGCGGGGUAACGACCCACCAAGCCUUCGAUGGAUAGGGGUUCUGAGAGGAAGGUCCCCCACAUUGGAACUGAGACACGGUCCAAACUCCUACGGGAGGCAGCAUG